AUGGAGUUGGGGCUGAGCUGGGUUUUCCUUGUUGCUAUAUUAGAAGGUGUCCAGUGUGAGGUGCAGCUGGUGGAGUCUGGGGGAGGCUUGGUACAGCCUGGGGGGUCCCUGAGACUCUCCUGUGCAGCCUCUGGAUUCACCUUCAGUAGCUACGACAUGCACUGGGUCCGCCAAGCUACAGGAAAAGGUCUGGAGUGGGUCUCAGCUAUUGGUACUGCUGGUGACCCAUACUAUCCAGGCUCCGUGAAGGGCCGAUUCACCAUCUCCAGAGAAAAUGCCAAGAACUCCUUGUAUCUUCAAAUGAACAGCCUGAGAGCCGGGGACACGGCUGUGUAUUACUGUGCAAGAGA